CUCUGCUGUGAUUUCCUCUGGAAUUUCUUCUUCAGUCAAAGCUGCUGCACCUGGAGAGCAGUAAUGACAACACAAAACACACAACAGCAAUGCAAAAAUGGGCUUCCCAGUCAAAUUUAGAAGCAGCAGUACACCCAUGCAAUUGCUGCACGGAUGAAGGACAAUCUGUAGCUCUACGACUAUUUUUGCAAUCCCGUCUGAGCGUUUUUGACAGCUCUUGGCCUAACAGGUUUUAUACUACCUUUCUGGAGACUGCCUGACUGGACGAGAACAAGGAUUCAGAUGAGGGUAUACCGGAAGAAGGAUACAGUUUGCCAAGAUCCAUACUCAUCAUUUGACAGACAAGAUACUUCAGGCCAGCAGAGAUUCCCAGAGCAGUAAAAGAAGCGCAGCUGAGACAAUAGAUAUGAUUAUUCAAUUUAAAAUCUUAAGACAGGUGGCUCCACACGCCUGCCCUGGUUACCAAGCUAUAGUUCCAGAUUAAUUUUUUGCUACAGUGAAUAUGUUCUGAAAUUGAAGGCAGAACUAGCAAGCAUAAAACUAAUAUUAGAAAAGAAAUAACUCACCUCUGCGCUGAAGCAGCAACAAUCAAGGCAAGACAGAUUGUUACACGCUUUCUUUUUGAAGAGCAUCAGGCCAGUUUCCGAGCUCAUGAAUGCCAACGUACCACAAUCGUGCACGUACUGGUGCCACAGAUGUCACGACCGUAUCCCAAUAACAAGCUAGCACUCAGCAGCUGAGGACGCACAUGGCUAACGGUUACGCGCUUCUUGUUGGGACAAUAUUAAGUAAAGAUGUGGGUAGCAGUCCCAGGCAGAACAAGGAAGAGAGGCUCUGUCACCGUCCAGAGGAGUGACUGCGUGGAGCUGGACCUUCCCACCCGCGCUGGUAGCGCAUACAGGACGCUCUGUU